rnacentral:lncRNA from 1 species
GUAUAAAAAAAGGUCGUACCCAGUGCACAAGGCUCCCGCUUUACGCAGGGUCUGGGAGAGGUGAAUGUCGGCUAGCCUUACCCCCAUUUAUGGAAAGGCUGCUCCCAAGUCUCGAACCCGAGACCUACCGCCCAUGGGCUACAUAAUAUCCUUAAUUUAACCCAAUUUUAAAUGACUCAAACCUUUCCUCCAUACAUCUUAAUAAAUUAAGUUUCUAUUAAUUCUGGUGUAUUUUGAUUUUCCCUCUCUUUGUUUGAUUUCAGCUCUAGUAGAACAUGCUUUGUUAUAUUAGAUACGUCUGCUCAAAAGGAGGCGGCUAGAGCCUAUAAACGCUUAUAAAGAAGAUAUUCCAUAAAGUUUCCAUGUUGAGUUAUGAUCAAGGCAGAGUUAGAGUCAUAUCAGGAUCACUACAGGUUCUGGGAAAGGAUUGCCAAAAGAAAGCAUGCAUAACUUCUCCUACAAUUACCUAAGCAUCCUAUUAAUAUAUGUGACAUGUUACAGAUACUACAAUCUGGGUGCCCGAAAAUAUGUUAUUGCUGCAGAAAUAAUUUAUGUAAGCCAGUUGCAGCUACAAUUUGAGGAAAUAUACAAAGCCUAAUAAAAAAGUUCGUAACUUCAAAUUAUCUUAUCAUACAAUUUGGUGGAGCAAAAACUAAAACUACCAACAUCAAUAUGCAAUGUUAGUCAGAAAACAACUAUUUCAUAUUCAUAACCAUUAACCUCUAAUGCUCUGAGCAAUCUUAACGUUAGCCUGCAAAUUAUCCGACCCCUACCCUGCGGAGGUAUUAUAUGAUUAAUUUGUCAACCAAAUAGAGAUCACUUCACCUGACAUCAACCAAUAAGAAAUACCACUUGUUAAAAAAAAAAAAAAACCAAUACCUGUGCUCUCUUUUUGUGAUAUCGCAUUGCAAUUUUGACACCGUAAUAUCAUAAAACGUCGAGCAAAUGAAUGAAUGUGCACUUCCAAUCAAACAUCCAAUCCUUUGUCAUAUAUCUGCAUGAUAAAAAUGUAAACUACCCACUGUAGGGGCGAUUGGGAGAAACGAAAAAGCAAAAAAGAAAGAAAAAUCACAAGGAAUUAUUAACUUUUGGAUUCACAAGUAAACUUAAAUCAACAACAAAACCAAUACCUCUGAUAUUUUUCGUGUUUGAAAACAAAGCAUAAACCCUAAACAAUUAUUCCCCUCACCAUAGCCUUGUUGUUUUGGUAUAUGUUUACACUGAGAAGGAAAGGAAAGAGCAUCAUGAUAAAUUUAGUCCCAAUUUAAUCCCAAUAUACUGGGAACGAUUAUAAUAGUACAGAUUAAAUAAACGCACAAUCAAAGAAAAUCAAAGGUUAUUUUUGGAUAGAAAAAAUAAAAAAUAAAAAAUUAACAGGAAUUAGAAAAAUUAACAUACUCUUUACCCUAAACUGGAGUAAAAAUCGUCCACCGAUAAAUGAUUUCAAUAGUCUAUCAUCCUUUUCGACCACAAAAUUUUCCAGAGCUUCAAUUAACUUUGUAGUCUGAAUUCAUUUUGUUAAAUAUUUUCAUCCUGGAAAGAAAAAAUUAAACAGAGCAACAUUCCCAAAUUAAAGACACAAAAAAAGAACCCAAAUUAAAAUCUUGGGUUAAAACCCUAGUUCUUGAAAUUGGGUACCUGGAGAACAUGGCAAUGAAGGUGACGGCGGAGGCGGAGAAUGGCAGAAACUAAGAACGGCAAAAAAGAGAAUCGAAAAGCACAGAAAAAGCGGAGAAGAAGUCGAACUGCAGCGAUGAUGAUGGACGCAUGGGCUAGGAGGUAUAUUCUAAAUGAAUGGCAUAGUCGUAAUCAAAGUGAAAUCAACCCAAAAUUACUGUAGUUGAUAAAUUUUAACAACUUUCUGGAAAAUAUAUUCAGGCAUCAAAAUUUUCAAAUUUUCCAAAAAGUUGAUAAGAUUUAUGUUUGGUAGGAAGAUAAACCAGAAGCCUAUGUGAAACAGUAAAAGUAAUAGAUACGCAUUGAAAAGCCGAUUGAAUCCAAUCAAAAGAGAGAAGCUUACCCGCAAUCUGCUUCAAUGCAAUGUACCGACUCCCAGCCAUCACCAGUCUCCAGGAACUUAUACAAAAUAACAACUUUGGUCAGAGUUCAGAAAAAGUGAUAGGAAUAAAAAGCUCAGUUCUGUUUUUAAAAUGUUUAGAAAGAAUAAAAGAGUACCUUUAGAAGAAUGACUGAUUUGAGUUGAAUAAUGUAAUAAUCAGCUACCCCAUCACCACCAUUCUAAGUAAAUUACAGAUUUAAACAUAAUAUGUCAGAACUUGCGCAUAAUUUAAACUAAUUGACUACAACAAAUGGUACUUUAAAAAAAGUUACAAAUACGCAUGUAUGAAUAUGAAGAACACUUCAAACUUAGAGAUGAAUUGUCUUCUUUUUUUUCUUUUUGAACUACAAAUUAACAAGUAAUUCAGUUUAAUAAAAAGUAAGAGAGGAAAAUAGAAUAAAUUGUGCGUAAUUCAUUUAAGAAUGGGAAAAAGGGAAAAAACAUACCAAUAUUUGGAAUAUGAGAAAUCUUGUGCCAUUCCGGGCCGCUCUCCUCGUUGCAUCUCUCUUUUAGAACGGAACAAUUACAAAUGUCUAUUGUUUUUAAUUUGGUGAGGCAUUUCAUAGCUUCAGCUGUAGGAAAAUAGUUCAGAUUCAUGCAUCUGUCUAUACAUAGGGACUGAAGAGAUGCAAAGUUCCCCAACCACUCGGGAGAUAAGAAAAGGUUUAGCUUCUAUCUGAUUUCAAUUAUACAAUUGACCGCUGUGGUUGAAUAUAAUCAUAUUAUCAUUAAAUCCCAAUAAAAACAAUAACUCUGAGAACUAAAGUUUUGAAGAAAAGGGGUUGUAUCACUGUCCAUCAAGUUUACAAAUCAAGGAAAUAAACAAUUUACAAUUUAACACAAUGGGUUUUAUUUAUUACUGAUUAAUAGAACUCUACCAAAUUCAUACUCAUAUAUAAUCAGAAUUUGGCCUUAAAGAGUCAUAAAUUCAAUAACACAUUAAUCGAAAUUCAGUUCCAAAAAUAAAAAUAGUUUAGAGAAUUGAAGAAUAGAAGAAAAGGUGUUGUACUUGUGUUCAUGAAACUGGUGUAGGAGAGAGAGAUUAUCAGUCACUGCCUUCUCUGCAAAACUCAGAAACCUUCCCAGCUGGAGCCAUGGCUCUCGAACUUAACCCUCAAGCCUUUGGCCGGUACUGCUCUGCAAAAACAAAAGCAGGAAAAUUUAAUAAUUUCAAAUUUGGUCAUAACCCACCAAAUUAAUUUACAAUCACAAACAAAAAAACAAAGGAAGAAAAUAAUGAGUUAAGUGGGACAAACAACAAAGAAGGGAGAAUCCACUUUACCAGCGAGGUCCAGGCGUCGGAGAUGUUCCUGGGUUUGAAGGUUUGUAGUUCAUCUCCUCAGCAAUUUCGUACCAUUGAUACACCUGAGUAUUGAGAGAGCUUCAGAUAAUACUAUUCCAUUCCACAUGUAAUUAUAAACUACAAUCAUAUAAUUUCUCAGAAUAAAAAUCAAUGCGACUAAAAACAAGGGGGCCCCAAAACAAAUGGUAUAUAUCAACUUUGAUGAUUUCUCUUAUUUUCCCUCUCUUUCUCAGCAACCAAACAGCAAUCGAAAAUUACCAAAAACUGAAAAAAUUGAAGUACCUGGGCCAGUUGCAUUGCCUGGUUGCCAUCUCCACUUGGUGAAAAAAAAUUAAGGGCGGGCAUUUUCGGGGCACCUAAACCCAUCAUCCACAAACCACAAUGUAAGUUAAAAAAUCAACAAAAUAAUUUGAUUGCAUUAAUCCGUUGAAAAAAAAUAUGCUAGAGUGCAGCAGCCCAACCCGCCUGUUUUGCAGAUAUGAGAUGGAGAGAGAUGAGAGGAAUUAAUGCAAAACCCAGCCCAACACACGUGAGAGCUGCUCCCAGGCCCAAAUGCAGCAGCCGAACCCGCCUGUUUUGGGUGAAGCACAGCCCACACACACGAUGGCACAACCGUAAUUAAUGCAAAUUCGUAUCCCAAUUUCAUAAGCAAUAUCAAUACUUCAGUUUCAAUCCCAACUUUAGAAUUAAGUAAUAUGCAUCUGGAUAAAUCUAAUCAAAAGAGAGAAGCUUACCAUGAAUCUGGUCCGAUGCAACUUCAGACAAUUGGGAAUUGCCGUUACUCACCAUUAGCCCCAACCCAAUAUGCCCUCCGAACUCUGAAGGGACAUAUAAAAAAUAACAACUUUGUUGAAUGCCAGAGUUCACAAAAAAUGUUAAGAAAGAUCACUUCUUUUCUUAGAAGGUUUAGGAAGAAAAAAAGUGACUAACUUGAGUUGAAUAAUUUAACAAUCUAACUCAUGUAGAGAUACUUUAUAAGAUUACUGAAUUGGGUUCACAUUACUUAGUAAACUAUAGAUUUAAACAUAAUAUGUAAGCACUUGCUCAUAGUUUCUAAAAAUUGACUAUAACAAACGGUACCUUGAAAAAUGUUACAAAUACGCAUGUCGGAAUAUGAAGAACACUUCAAAACUUAAACACGAAUUUUUGCUCAAAAGGAGGCGGCUAGAGCCUAUAAACACUUAUAAAGAAGAUAUUCCAUAAAGUUUCCAUGUUGAGCUAUGAUCAAGGUAGAGUUAGACUCAUAUCAGGAUCACUACAGGUUCUGGGAAGAAAGCAUGCAUAACUUCUCCUACAAUUACCUAAGCAUCCUAUUAAUAUAUGUGACAUGUU